rnacentral:rRNA from 2 species
UUUUAACAACGGAUCUCUUGGUUCUGGCAUCGAUGAAGAACGCAGCGAAAUGCGAUAAGUAAUGUGAAUUGCAGAAUUCAGUGAAUCAUCGAAUCUUUGAACGCACAUUGCGCCCC